GAUGAACGCUAGCUACAGGCUUAACACAUGCAAGUCGCGGGGCAGCAUGGGGGUUGCUUGCAAUCCCCGAUGGCGACCGGCGCACGGGUGAGUAACGCGUAUCCAACCUGCCCUUCACCACGGGAUAACCCGGCGAAAGUCGGACUAAUACCGUAUGUUGUCCAUUGACGGCAUCCGAUUUGGACGAAAGGCUUGGCGGUGAGGGAUGGGGAUGCGUCCGAUUAGCCAGACGGCGGGGUAACGGCCCACCGUGGCUACGAUCGGUAGGGGUUCUGAGGGGAAGGUCCCCCACACUGGAACUGAGACACGGUCCAGACUCCUACGGGAGGCAGCAGUGAGGAAUAUUGGUCAAUGGGCGUAAGCCUGAACCAGCCAAGUAGCGUGCAGGAUGACGGCCCUAUGGGUUGUAAACUGCUUUUAUGCGGGGAUAAAGUGGCCCACGUGUGGGCUUUUGCAGGUACCGCAUGAAUAAGGACCGGCUAAUUCCGUG
rnacentral:rRNA from 1 species